AGUGAACGCUGGCGGCAUGCCUAACACAUGCAAGUCGAGCGGCAGCGCGGGGGCAACCCUGGCGGCGCGCGGCGGACGGGUGAGUAAUUCGUCGGAGUCUGCCUUUUUGUGGGGGAUAACGUAGGUUCACUUACGCUAAUACCGCAUACGUCCUACUGGAGAAAGUGGUGGACCGCAAGUCCUCACCCAUAUAGCUGACCCGACGACCGAUUAGCUAGUUGGUUGGGUAAAGGCCCACCAAGGCGACGAUCGGUAGCUGGUCUGAGAGGAUGAUCUGCCACACUGGAACUGAGACACGGCCCAGACUCCUACGGGAGGCAGCAGUGGGGAAUAUUGGGCAAUGGGCGAAAGCCUGAUCGAGCCAUGCCGCGUGUGUGAAGAAGGCCUUCGGGUUGUAAAGCACUGUUGUCAGGAAAGAAAAAACUGGAGCGAAUACAUGCGGGGGAUGACGGUACCGGAAGAAUAAGCAACGGCUAACUACGUG
rnacentral:rRNA from 1 species